rnacentral:rRNA from 1 species
AGUGAACGCUGGCGGUAGGCCUAACACAUGCAAGUCGAACGGCAGCACAGUAAGAGCUUGCUCGUACGGGUGGCGAGUGGCGGACGGGUGAGGAAUACAUCGGAAUCUACUUUUUCGUGGGGGAUAACGUAGUGAAACUUACGCUAAUACCGCAUACGACCUACGGGUGAAAUCAGGGGAUCUUCGGACCUUGCGCGUUUGAAUGAGCUGAUGUCGGAUUAGCUAGUUGGCGGGGUAAAGGCCCACCAAGGCGACGAUCCGUAGCUGGUCUGAGAGGAUGAUCAGCCACACUGGAACUGAGACACGGUCCAGACUCCUACGGGAGGCAGCAGUGGGGAAUAUUGGAGAAUGGGCGGCAGCAUGAUCCAGCAAUACCGCGUGGGUGAAGAAGGCCUUCGGGUUGUAAAGCCCUUUUGUUGGGAAAGAAAAGCAGCAGGUUAAUACCCCGCUGUUCUGACGGUACCCAAAGAAUAAGCACCGGCUAACUUCGUG